AGCGAACGCUGGCGGCAGGCUUAACACAUGCAAGUCGAGCGGGCGUAGCAAUACGUCAGCGGCAGACGGGUGAGUAACGCGUGGGAACGUACCUUUUGGUCGGAACAACCCAGGGAAACUUGGGCUAAUACCGGAUAAGCCCUUACGGGGAAAGAUUUAUCGCCGAAAGAUCGGCCCGCGUCUGAUUAGCUAGUUGGUGAGGUAACGGCUCACCAAGGCUAUGAUCGGUAGCCGGUCUGAGAGGAUGGCCGGCCACACUGGAACUGAGACACGGUCCAGACUCCUACGGGAGGCAGCAGUGGGGAAUCUUGCGCAAUGCGCGAAAGCGUGACGCAGCAACGCCGCGUGA
rnacentral:rRNA from 1 species